GGUCGGUCCUCCGGAUUCUCGCGGAGAUCGGCGGCAUCAACCUCGUGAUCGACCCGAGCGUGCCUCCCGUGGCGCCGGUCGACCUGCGGUUGACCCAGGUGCCGUGGGAUCAGGUGAUGGACGUGAUCCUGCGCAGCGCCGGCCUGACCUACGAACUGGAGGGGCCGCUCCUGCGCGUGCUGACGCGCGAGGCGCUCACCAAGGAAAAGCAGGCCGAAGCGGAUCAGAAGCGGGCCACCAGCAAGGCGGCGGACCUCGCGACCGUGCGCAUCCGGCUGAACUACGCCUCGGCGUCCGAAGUGAAGAAGCUGCUCGAAGCGGCGCGCAUCAUCUCGGCUGAGGGCACCGUCGACAUGGACGAGCGCACGAACAUCCUGAUCAUCAAGGACACGCCCAAGAUGAUCGCGGAGGCGCAGGAAGUCAUUGCCGAGCUGGAUCGUCCGGAGCCGCAGGUCGAAAUCGAAGCGAAGAUCAUGCAGACCAACCGCGACACCGCGCGCGCGCUUGGUGUGCAGUGGGGCCUCAACGGCCGCGUGGCGCCGGACCUGGGCAACACGACGGGCCUGGCGUUCCCAAAUCGCGGCACCGUGGGCGGCCGCGUGCAGCAGCAGGGUCCGGUCACGCAGGGACCGGUCGAUCCGCGUUCAACCGUGAACGAACGCGCGGCCACCGCGAUCAACCUGCCGGUGACCGGCGCGACGUCGGCGCUCGGCCUUCAGAUGGGCGCGUUCAACGGCGCGUUCGGCAUCGACGUGGCGAUCACCGCGCUCGAACGCGAGGGCAAGAUCAAGAUGCUCUCGACGCCGCGCGUGACCACGCAGAACAACAAGCAGGCCGAAGUCACCCAGGGCUUCCAGAUUCCGAUUCAGACCGAGCAGAACAACACGGUGUCCGUGACCUUCAAGGACGCCGCGCUCAAGCUGCUCGUCACGCCGCAGAUCACCGGCGCGAACACGGUCAUCAUGAAGAUCACCCUGGAGAACGGCCAGCCGGACUUCAGCCGGGCCGUGAACGGCAACCCGUCGAUCAACACGCAGCGCGCCGAAACGCAGGUGCAGGUGGCCGACGGCGUGAUGACGGUCAUCGGCGGCAUUCUGCAGAGCACGGAAACGAACAAUGAGGAUCGGACGCCUGGGCUGCACUCCGUGCCGCUGCUGGGCUGGCUCUUCAAGCGCACCGACACGCGCAACGAGAGCCAGGAACUGCUGAUCUUCAUUACGCCGCGGAUCAUUCGCUAAGUCAUGAGGCCUGACGUCAUGCAUACAUUCUUCUCGAACGCGAAGAAAACUCGAGUGGCUCUGGGCGCGGGCCUGGCGCUGAUGGCGGCGACGGUGCUGCCCGGCUGCACGACCGCGGCGCGGCAGGGGCAGUCCUCGUCCUACCUCAUCAUCGACAUGAUGCAGGCGGCGUCGGGCGCCGAGCCGACUAAGUUCGUCGGGUCGCUGGCCUCGGACGUGCUGACCAACAACAGCGUCUACUCGGAUCCGGGGCAGGUCACGCUGCGGCUGGCCUUGCGCGACCCGGGCUCGAUCAACACGCCGGCGCAGCCAACGAGCGCCAACUUCAUUACCGUGACGCGCUACCACGUCCGGUACCUGCGCAGCGACGGCCGCAACACGCAGGGCGUGGACGUGCCGUUUGAGUUCGACGGCGCGUCGACGGGCACCGUCGGUGCCUCGGUCCUGACGCUGCCGCUCACGCUCGUGCGCGCGCAGGCCAAGGUCGAGGCGCCGCUCAUGACGCUCGUGAACGGCGGCGGCGCGCAGUUCAUUUCGACGAUCGCGGAAGUCACGCUUUACGGCAAGGACCAGACCGGCCGCGAGGUGUUCGUGACGGGCACGAUCAGCGUCAACUUCGCAGACUGGGCCGACCCGACCGGCGGCGACGGCGGCGGACACUAGUCUUUGGUCAGGCUGUUGCGGAUUCUUCCUGGAGUGAGGAUGUGAUGAAACGAGUCUUGUUGGCGCUGAUGCUUUCCACCGCGAUCACCGGGUGCGCGCUUGACCAGCAGCCGACGCCCAAUCUGACCGGCCCGUCCGAGCUCGGACUGUCGCUGGCCAUGACGGCGACGCCCGACUCGCUUCUGCAGAACGGCCAGGCGCAGUCGACGGUCGCCAUCGUGGCGCGCGACAGCUCCGGCAAUCCGCUGGCCGGGCGCCAGUUCUACGUGCGCAGCCGCGUCAAUAACGUGAUCGUUGGCACGCUCUCGGUGCCGUCUGUCACCACGGACAGCCAGGGCCGCGCAACGGUGAUCUACACGGCGCCGGACCUUUCCGCGGGCACCAACUUCAACUACGUCAUUGUUGAAUUCCUGCCGGUCGGCAGCAACGCCGACAACAACAGCGACCGGUUCCUGACGAUUCGCAUGAUCCGGUAGGUCCCGUUCACGGCAGUCGUUCAGGAUAGACGUCCGCGCAUGGCGACUACGUCCACGAAGAAGAAGCCGAAGCCUGCCAAAGCGCCGGCGGAGGAUAGUUCGGCCUUCGGACCCAUUGCCGAGCGCUUUCGCCGCGCGGGCGAUUUGGAACGGGCCGUCAGCCUUUGCCGCGAGGGCCUGC
rnacentral:misc_RNA from 1 species